UCAGGAUGAACGCUAGCGACAGGCUUAACACAUGCUAGUCGAGGGGCAGCGGGGGAGUGGCAACACUUCCGCCGGCGACCGGCGCACGGGUGAGUAACACGUAUGAAACCUGCCCGCAGCAGGGGGAUAAGCGGAAGAAAUUCCGUCUAAUACCGCGUAACAACCGACGGGGGCAUCCCUGUUGGUUCAAAGGAGCGAUCCGGCUGCGGAUGGUCAUGCGGCGCAUUAGCUAGUUGGCGGGGCAACGGCCCACCAAGGCGACGAUGCGUAGGGGUUCUGAGAGGAAGGUCCCCCACACUGGUACUGAGACACGGACCAGACUCCUACGGGAGGCAGCAGUGAGGAAUAUUGGUCAAUGGCCGAGAGGCUGAACCAGCCAAGUCGCGUGAGGGAUGACGGCCCUACGGGUUGUAAACCUCUUUUGCCGGGGAGCAAAGAGCGGGACGCGUCCCGCCUCGAGAGUACCCGGAGAAAAAGCAUCAGCUAACUCCGUGCCAGCAGCCGCGGUAAUACGGAGGAUGCGAGCGUUAUCCGGAUUUAUUGGGUUUAAAGGGUGCGCAGGCGGAAGCGCAAGUCAGCGGUAAAAUUGAGAGGCUCAACCUCUUCCCGCCGUUGAAACUGCGUUUCUUGAGUGGGCGAGAAGUACGCGGAAUGCGUGGUGUAGCGGUGAAAUGCAUAGAUAUCACGCAGAACUCCGAUUGCGAAGGCAGCGUACCGGCGCCCAACUGACGCUCAUGCACGAAAGCGUGGGUAUCGAACAGGAUUAGAUACCCUGGUAGUCCACGCAGUAAACGAU
rnacentral:rRNA from 1 species